GAUCGCCAUCUAUACACCACCCGGAUGGUCACUACUAGCACCAGCAGCACCAGCGCUGCUUCCUCCAGCAUGGCGAUCCUUCAGACGAUGGGAAGAACACUGGUCAAUGGCGCCAUUUAGCCAUGAAGGUCAAGAAUAGUGGCGCCACUAGUCACUCCUCUGCCAUCCACCACACCAUCAACACCUCCAGCUCUUCCAGUUCCAUCACCCUGUGACAUUGUUUUGGGGUGUCGCUGCUGGUGAGGAUAUCUCUUAAGACCUGCAGCUGCCCAAUGGACACCACCACCCAGCAGCUGCCUACAACAUGGGGAAUAUCUUCAGCCUACAAGAUUCGAUACACUUAAGAUCAUUAAUUAAAAUGUAAUAAAUACAUUUUUUAUAUUCA